AGACGGAGGGUGCAAGCGUUAAUCGGAAUUACUGGGCGUAAAGCGCUCGUAGGCGGCUUGUUAAGUCGGAUGUGAAAGCCCUGGGCUCAACCUGGGAACUGCAUUCGAUACUGGCAGGCUAGAGUAUAGUAGAGGCAAGUGGAAUUCCGGGUGUAGCGGUGAAAUGCGUAGAUAUCCGGAGGAACAUCAGUGGCGAAGGCGACUUGCUGGACUAAUACUGACGCUGAGGAGCGAAAGCGUGGGGAGCAAACGGGAUUAGAAACCCCAGUAGUCC
rnacentral:rRNA from 1 species